UUUAAUUGAAAGCAAAAUAUUGUCCACGUCUGAUCAAGUUUGUUCCGCCGAGUGUUAUCUCUGAAGGAUAUGUUCAUUUUGUGGGAGAAUCGACACCAAAUCCGAGACAUACGAAGCAUACAAAACAGGGAUAAGAAUCCUACCUUGUGGGACCUUCGAUCGAGCUGUUGACGUCAAAAAAGAUCUCUCUACAGGAAGUAUACAGCCAGCGCCAAGUUGCCACAAGACUGAUUAUAAAUCACUACAAUAGGGAGGGGAGGGACCUAGGUCUACGGACGAGAGAAACAGAUACAGAUUCAUCAGGCUCUACGAAACCGAGGAAUUAUGGGAAACGAGAUAACAAAACUUAUAAGACAAGUGCGUCCAGGACUGUAAGAAGAAGGCUCAAUGAAAAUACCCUUAGGGCCCGGCACCCGCUUCGUGGACUUGUUCUUCCCAAAACUCAAAAACUGGCCAGGAUUCAAUCCGCGUGGGAACAUGUGAAUUGGACAUUUGAAGAUUAGGGGACGAGUGCUCUUUACAGGUGAGGUGACAUUCCCCUGUGGAUCAUUGAUGGUCUGAGGUGGCAUUUCCUUGGACGCCCGCAGCGAAUUGGUUGUUGUGCGCGGAAGAUCUCUAACCUCACAGAGGUUCUUACAAGAUAUAAUCUAGGAACAUUUGCCCCCCACCACAUCGGCGAGAGAUUUUUGCUAAUGCAAGAUAAUGGCGAAAUAACACGUAUUGUGGAUGAAUACCUGAAUGAGGUUGGAAUUGAGUGCUUGGUGUGGCAUAGACAGCUCUACAUUUGAACCCAAUCGAACACAUUUGGGACCUACUUAAACGAUUCGUACGACGGCACAUCUCAAGUCCUAACACCCUACAAGAUUUGGUAACCGCUGUCCUCGAUGAAUGGGAAAUAAUUCUUCAGAAUUUUAUCACAAAUAUUUUCCAAGGAAUGGAAAGGUUUUUAAAGGACGUGAUUCGUGCCAGAGGUGUAAAUAUUGGUAUUGGAGGGGGCAAAAACUUUUUUACAUUUUCAUUUUAUUUUUUUUUUGUUCUUUACUCACUAUUUUUUUAAAUAUAUAAUACAAAUUUUAUUACGUAUUUAGUCCAAGUAAUUAAUAAAUUUUCUGGUAAAAUAGAAUGUGAAUUAUUAUAGUGAAUUAAGAU